GCUAACAGACAUAUCACCCUGCAACUCAGAACUGCCAGCCCACUGAAGCUAAGCAGGUGUGAGUCUGGCCAGUACCUGGUUGAGGGACCUCCUGGGAAAAACUGAGGUUGCUGUUU
rnacentral:rRNA from 1 species